rnacentral:rRNA from 1 species
UAACCGGGCGUUAAGUUGCAGGGUAUAGACCCGAAACCCGGUGAUCUAGCCAUGGGCAGGUUGAAGGUUGGGUAACACUAACUGGAGGACCGAACCGACUAAUGUUGAAAAAUUAGCGGAUGACCUGUGGCUGGGGGUGAAAGGCCAAUCAAACCGGGAGAUAGCUGGUUCUCCCCGAAAGCUAUUUAGGUAGCGCCUCGUGAAUUCAUCUCCGGGGGUAGAGCACUGUUUCGGCUAGGGGGCCAUCCCGGCUUACCAACCCGAUGCAAACUGCGAAUACCGGAGAAUGUUAUCACGGGAGACACACGGCGGGUGCUAACGUCCGUCGUGAAGAGGGAAACAACCCAGACCGCCAGCUAAGGUCCCAAAGUCAUGGUUAAGUGGGAAACGAUGUGGGAAGGCCCAGACAGCCAGGAUGUUGGCUUAGAAGCAGCCAUCAUUUAAAGAAAGCGUAAUAGCUCACUGGUCGAGUCGGCCUGCGCGGAAGAUGUAACGGGGCUAAACCAUG